rnacentral:rRNA from 1 species
AGAGGAUGAUCAGCCGCACUGGAACUGACACACGGUCCAGACUCCUACGGGAGGCAGCAGUGAGGAAUUUUGCGCAAUGGGGGAAACCCUGACGCAGCAACGCCGCGUGAGUGAUGUAGGCUUUCGGGUCGUAAAGCUCUGUCAAGUGGGAAGAAACCACGAGGUGAUAAUAUCGCUUUGUGCUGACGGUACCACUGAAGGAAGCACCGGCUAACUCCGUGCCAGCAGCCGCGGUAAUACGGGGGGUGCAAGCGUUAUUCGGAAUCAUUGGGCGUAAAGGGCGCGUAGGCGGUUUGUUAAGUCAGAUGUGAAAGCCCGGGGCUCAACCCCGGAAGUGCAUUUGAUACUGGCGGACUUGAGUAUGGGAGAGGGAAGUGGAAUUCCUGGUGUAGAGGUGAAAUUCGUAGAUAUCAGGAGGAACACCGGUGGCGAAGGCGACUUCCUGGACCAAUACUGACGCUGAGGCGCGAAGGCGUGGGUAGCAAACAGGAUUAGAUACCCUGGUAGUCCACGCAGUAAACGGUGAUCACUAGGUGUAGCGGGUAUUGACCCCUGCUGUGCCGCAGUUAACGCAUUAAGUGAUCCGCCUGGGGAGUACGGCCGCAAGGUUAAAACUCAAAGGAAUUGACGGGGGCCCGCACAAGCGGUGGAGCAUGUGGUUUAAUUCGACGCAACGCGAAGAACCUUACCUGGGUUUGACAUCUCGGGGAUUUUUUGGAAACAAGAAAGUGCCCUUCGGGGAGCCCGAAGACAGGUGCUGCAUGGCUGUCGUCAGCUCGUGUCGUGAGAUGUUGGGUUAAGUCCCGCAACGAGCGCAACCCUUAUCUUUAGUUACCAUCACUUCGGGUGGGGACUCUAAAGAUACUGCCCCGGUCAACGGGGAGGAAGGUGGGGAUGACGUCAAGUCCUCAUGGCCUUUAUGCCCAGGGCUACACACGUGCUACAAUGGGCGAUACAAAGGGUAGCGAGCCUGCGAAGGUGAGCCAAUCCCAAAAAGUCGUUCUUAGUUCGGAUUGGAGUCUGCAACUCGACUCCAUGAAGCUGGAAUCGCUGGUAAUCGCGGAUCAGCACGCCGCGGUGAAUACGUUCCCGGGCCUUGUACACACCGCCCGUCACACCAUGAGAGUUGGUUGUACCAGAAGUUGUUGGGCUAACCCGCAAGGGAGGCAGGCACCUAAGGUAUGGCUGAUGAUUGGGGUGAAGUCGAAACAAGGUA